CGAUGCAAACGCGAAGAACCUUACCUACUCUUGACAUCCAGAGAACAUUCCAGAGAUGGAUUGGUGCCUUCGGGAACUCUGAGACAGGUGCUGCAUGGCUGUCGUCAGCUCGUGUUGUGAAAUGUUGGGUUAAGUCCCGCAACGAGCGCAACCCUUAUCCUUUGUUGCCAGCGAUUCGGUCGGGAACUCAAAGGAGACUGCCGGUGAUAAACCGGAGGAAGGUGGGGAUGACGUCAAGUCAUCAUGGCCCUUACGAGUAGGGCUACACACGUGCUACAAUGGCGUAUACAGAGGGAAGCGAUAGUGCGAGCUGGAGCGAAUCUCACAAAGUACGUCUAAGUCCGGAUUGGAGUCUGCAACUCGACUCCAUGAAGUCGGAAUCGCCAGUAAUCGCAAAUCAGAAUGUUGCGGUGAAUACGUUCCCGGGCCUUGUACACACCGCCCGUCACACCAUGGGAGUGGGUUGUACCAGAAGUAGAUAGCUUAACCUUCGGGGGGGCGUUUACCACGGUAUGAUUCAUGACUGAGGUGAAGUCGUAACAAGGUAAAAUCGAAUUCCCGCGGCC
rnacentral:rRNA from 1 species